rnacentral:lncRNA from 1 species
AACACAUCCAGCCUCAGACUCAGCAACUAUACCCCAGACCAUUUGCAUCAUGCUUGGAGUAUACUGUUAGAAUACAGAAAGGCAGCUGUGUAAAGAAAUAAGGGUCAUGAAAUCUGAUGAAGAGUUAUGAGGUCAUAUACAAGAAGGUGGGAAAAUAAGGAGAUCAUCAGAAAAAAAAAAGACUCAGAAGAAAACUAGUGGUUUUUGUUGCUGUUUUGUGUUGUUUUUAUCAACUCUGUGCCAGCCACUCUGACAAUUCACAGAUGCCAUCUCAUUUGUAAAACCAUCUCAUCUGUAAACCAUCAGAGUUGAUCUUCUAUUAUUCUCAUUUUAUAUGCUUGGAAAUUAAUACUGAAAAUUUGGACUGGGUAUCCAAGGCAAGACACCUAACUAGAUGCCACCAGGAAGAACAUCUCCCACAAAAACAGACCAAAAUAUCCAGUAAAUCAGCAUACUCAGAACAGAUCAUCUGAAGGAAUGAACUAAAAGAGAUUAGAAAGACAACCCAGACACCAGGAUGAAAGGGAGAGGAAGCUGGGAAUCCUUCUUGGGGUUGCUGAAUAUGGGACAUGUUCCAGGCCCUGAAUGGCUCUGAGUUACGUCCCUGGACUUUGGGACUCAUUCUGCUCGACUUGAUCCCUGCUCUGCCCAUUGAUCACAUACACACGUUUACACCUGGCAGAAGAGGAAGAGGAGGCAUGAAGGAAUGGCCUCUUCAGAAUGGAGAAAAGCCUUCCCCAUGAGAACAUGCCUAAGACAGACUGCUGAAGAAGGCGGCAAAUGGAACAGCGCUGAAUCAGCCUGGUCAUCCCAGUCAAGCCUCCAGACAUGUAAGCACCCUCCUCUGAUCUGCAGAGCUGCCUGGCCCAAAUACUGUUGACCACUCUUGAGUAAGCCCCACCAAGAUCAGCUGAGAACAGUAGAACUGACCAGAUGACUCUAACCUCAUGAAUAAAUCCAAGUGUUUUUUUAUUUGCCUCUGA